rnacentral:rRNA from 1 species
UAUGCUUGUCCCGAAGAUUAAGCCAUGCAUGUCUUCGAUUUUUAGUAGACCGAUAAAAUCUGCGAAGGGCUCCGUAAAACUGUUGCAACCUACCUCAAUCCUGGCUGCUCCGGGUAGCGGCCGUCAGGAUAACCUGGGUAAUUCUCAGGCUAAUACAUAUAGAAGAGCUGCAAGAUGAAUAAACCAGAACAGGGGGACCUGGAAGGGCGCGUGGCGAAAGCCGCAACCCCGGAAGGGUUCAAUGUCCCCCAUCGCUGCAGAGGUCGCAGGACCCAUGACCUGGGAGGUCUCCCCACAGCGCGCGGCCGGUGCCCUCUGCCCAUCCGGGUGGGGGGGCCACGCGGCGCUGGAGACCUAACGGUGAAAAGUACUGCGUGCCCCUUACCGUUGUUAAAGUGCCCUCUCGGUGCUACGGUUUUUCAUAUGCGCUUCAGCUCUAUCAACUCCAAACUUAGGGAGCGGCUCCCAUUGGUUGCAACGGAUACAGAGGAUCAGGGUUCGAUCCUGGAGAGGUAGCCUUAAAAAUCGCUACUACUUCUAAGGAAGGCAGCAGGCGCGCAACGUUCCCAAUGGGGAUACCCUGAGGACGUGAGGGGACAUAGCAAUACUGGGCCGUUAAACGUUCGGUAAUUGAAAUGGGGGAGAUUUAAAUCACCCACCGAGUAACAAUUGGAGGACAAGUCUGGU